AAUUAAGCGUACACGGUGGAUGCCUAGGCAGUCAAAGGCGAUGAAAGACGUACUAAUCUGCGAAAAGCGUCGGUAAGCUGAUAUGAAGCGUACUAGCCGGCGAUGUCCGAAUGGGGAAACCCAGUGCAUUUAUGCACUAUCGUUUGAUGAAUUAAUAGUUAAGCGAAGCAAACCGUGGGAACUGAAACAUCUUAGUACCUCGAGGAAAAGAAAUCAACCGAGAUUCCCCUAGUAGUGGCGAGCGAACGGGGAUCAGCCAAGAGUCAACAUCACUAUUUAUAUUAGGAGAAUGGUCUGGAAAGACUAGCAGUAAAGGGUGAUAGCCCCGUAUCCGAAAGUAUAGGUAGAGUGAGCUCGAAGAGUAAGACGGGACACGUGUUAUCCUGUCUGAAGAAGGGGGGACCAUCCUCCAAGGCUAAAUACUAUUGACUGACCGAUAGUGAACAAGUACCGUGAGGGAAAGGUGAAAAGAACCUCGGCAAGAGGAGUGAAAUAGAACCUGAAACCGUGUACGUACAAGCAGUAGGAGCCCCACCACCAAAGUAUUUGCUUUUUUUUGACGGUUAAUGUCGCGCACCAAUCUUAUAACUCCGUAGAUAGAAUAAAGCUAAAUACCGGUGUCAAAUAAAUUGCGAUAAGGUUAGUUGCCGAAGGUGACAGCUGGAAAUUAUGGAGUACUUUGGGGUGGGGUAACUGCGUACCUUUUGUAUAAUGGGUCAGCGAGUUAUUUUCGGUAGCAAGCUUAACCGCAUAGGGGAGCCGUAGGGAAACCGAGUCUUAAUUGGGCGUUAAGUUGCAGGGUAUAGACCCGAAACCCGGUGAUCUAGCUAUGAGCAGAUUGAAGGUUGGGUAACACUAACUGGAGGAUCGAACCGACUAAUGUUGAAAAAUUAGCGGAUGACUUGUGGAUCGGAGUGAAAGGCUAAUCAAGCCGGGAGAUAGCUGGUUCUCCUCGAAAGCUAUUUAGGUAGCGCCUUAUGUAUUACCAUUGGGGGUAGAGCACUGUUUCGGGGGGGUCAUCCCGACUUACUAAAACGAGGCAAACUACGAAUACCGAAGAAUGUUAUCAUGGGAGACACACGGCGGGUGCUAACGUCCGUCGUGAAGAGGGAAACAACCCAGACCGCCAGCUAAGGUCCCCAAGUUAUGGUUAAGUGGGAAACGAAGUGGGAAAGCUUAGACAGCUAGGAGGUUGGCUUAGAAGCAGCCACCCUUUAAAGAAAGCGUAAUAGCUCACUAGUCUAGUUCUCCAGCGCGGAAAAUAUAACGGGGCUAAACCAUGCACCGAAGCUGCGGCAGCAACAGAAAUGUUGUUGGGUAGGGGAGCGUUCUGUAAGCCUGUAAAGGUAGACUGAGAGGUCUACUGGAGGUAUCAGAAGUGCGAAUGCUGACAUAAGUAACGAUAAAGUGGGUGAAAAACUCACUCGCCGAAAGACCAAGGGUUCCUGUCCAACGUUAAUCGGGGCAGGGUUAGUCGGUCCUAAGGUGAGGCUGAAAAGCGUAAUCGAUGGAAAACUGGUUAAUAUUCCCGUACCAUAUGUAUAUUGCGAUGGGGUGACGGAGAAGGCUAGGCUAUCCGGGUGACGGAUGUCUCGGUUUAAGCGAGUAGGUGGGUAGUGUAGGUAAAUCCGCAUUGCUAUAACAUUGAGUCGUGAUGACGAGCCACUAAGGUGGUGAAGUAGUUGAUGCCAGGCUUCCAGGAAAAGCCUCUAAGCUAUAGGUAACUAUUAAUCGUACCACAAACCGACACAGGUGGUUAAGUAGAGUAUACUAAGGCGUUUGAGAGAACUCGGGUGAAGGAACUAGGCAAAAUGGCACCGUAACUUCGGGAGAAGGCACGCUGGCAUUAGGUGAUGGGUCUUGCAUUCGGAGCUGAAGCCAGUCGAAGAUACCAGGUGGCUGCAACUGUUUAUUAAAAACACAGCACUCUGCUAACGCGUAAGCGGAUGUAUAGAGUGUGACGCCUGCCCAGUGCUGGAAGGUUAAUUGAUGGGGUAAGUCGUAAGGCGAAGCUCUUAAUCGAAGCCCCAGUAAACGGCGGCCGUAACUAUAACGGUCCUAAGGUAGCGAAAUUCCUUGUCGGGUAAGUUCCGACCUGCACGAAUGGCGUAAUGAUGGCCACACUGUCUCCAUCCGAGACUCAGUGAAAUUGAAAUUGCUGUGAAGAUGCAGUAUACCCACGGUAAGACGGAAAGACCCCGUGAACCUUUACUAUAGCUUGACACUGAACAUUGAGCCUUAAUGUGUAGAAUAGGUGGGUGGCUUUGAAGUGUAGACGCCAGUCCGCAUGGAGCCAACGGUGAAAUACCACCCUUUAAUGUUUGAUGUUCUAACUUAGGCCCGUAAUCCGGGUUGAGGACAGUGUGUGGUGGGUAGUUUGACUGGGGCGGUCUCCUCCCAAAGAGUAACGGAGGAGCGCAAAGGUUGGCUAAUCACGGUCAGACAUCGUGAGGUUAGUGCAAUGGCAUAAGCCAGCUUGACUGCGAGCGUGACGGCGCGAGCAGAUACGAAAGUAGGUCUUAGUGAUCCGGUGGUUGCUGUAUGGAAGGGCCAUCGCUCAACGAAUAAAAGGUACUCCGGGGAUAACAGGCUAAUACCGCCCAAGAGUUCACAUCGACGGCGGUGUUUGGCACCUCGAUGUCGGCUCAUCACAUCCUGGGGCUGAAGCAGGUCCCAAGGGUAUGGCUGUUCGCCAUUUAAAGUGGUACGCGAGCUGGGUUUAGAACGUCGUGAGACAGUUCGGUCCCUAUCUACCGCGGGCGUAGGAAGUUUGAGAGGGGCUAUUCCUAGUACGAGAGGACCAGAGUGGACGAACCACUGGUGUUCCGGUUGUCAUGCCAAUGGCAUAGCCUGGUAGCUAAGUGCGGAAGAGAUAACCGCUGAAAGCAUCUAAGCGGGAAACUUGCCUCAAGAUGAGUCUUCCCAGACAGUAAUGUCCUAUAAGGGGUGUUCGAGACGAGGACGUAGAUAGGCUGAGUGUGUAAGCAUAGCAAUAUGUUAAGCUAAUCAGUACUAAUUCCCCGGGAGGCUUAACC
rnacentral:rRNA from 1 species